rnacentral:rRNA from 1 species
UACGUAGGGGGCAAGCGUUGUCCGGAUUUAUUGGGCGUAAAGAGCGUGUAGGCGGCUUGGUAGGUCCGCUGUGAAAACUCGAGGCUCAACCUCGAGAUGUCGGCGGAAACCACUUGGCUAGAGUCCGGAAGAGGAGUGUGGAAUUCCUGGUGUAGCGGUGAAAUGCGCAGAUAUCAGGAAGAACACCUAUGGCGAAGGCAGCUCUCUGGGACGGUACUGACGCUGAGACGCGAAAGCGUGGGGAGCGAACAGG